GGCGAAAUUGGUAGACGUACCAGACUUAGGAUCUGGCGCCGUGAGGCAUGGGGGUUCGAGUCCCUCC
rnacentral:tRNA from 1 species